rfam:Triticum aestivum genome assembly, contig: Triticum_aestivum_CS42_TGACv1_scaffold_032607_1BL
UAAAUACUCCCUUUGUGCGAAAAUACUUGCCAUCAAAAUGGAUAAAAAGAGAUGUAUCUAAAACUACAUAUAGAUACAUUUCCUUUUAUCCAUUUUGAUGACAAGUAUUUCCGGACGGAGGGAGUAUUUG